GAUGAACGCUGGCGGCGUGCCUAAUACAUGCAAGUCGAGCGAACGGACGCGAAGCUUGCUUCUCUGAUGUUAGCGGCGGACGGGUGAGUCACACGUGUAUAACCUACCUAUAAGACUGGGAUAACUUCGGGAAACCGGAGCUAAUACCGGAUAAUCUUUUGAACCGCAUGGUUCAAAAGUGAAAGACGGUCUUGCUGUCACUUCUAGCUGGAUCCGCGCUGCAUUAGCUAGUUGGUAAGGUAACGGCUUACCAAGGCAACGAUGCAUAACCGACCUGAGAGGGUGAUCGGCCACACUGGAACUGAGACACGGUCCAGACUCCUACGGGAGGGAGCAGUAGGGAAUCUUACGCAAUGGGCGAAAGCCUGACGGAGCAACGCCGCGUGAGUGAUGAAGGUCUUCGGAUCGUAAAACUCUGUUAUUAGGGAAGAACAGAUGUGUAAGUAACUGUGCACAUCGUGACGGUACCUAAUCAGAAAGCCACGGCUAACUACGUG
rnacentral:rRNA from 1 species